UGUUCACACUUAAACAUAAAUCAACUGGGAAAUUCAGCCCAACUCAUGUGCUGGCCCUGUCCACACCGACGUCGACUCCAGCAAAAAUUUCCUGACUGACUUGAGGAGAGAGAGGAAUUAUUGCUACGUGCCUUUCCCAGUGAAGAAAAUCUCUGUUGGCUGCGAGCAGAGAAGCGGCGGAAGGAUUCCCGACUCCGGGAAGCCAGGUGUCGGAAGGAGGAAGUACGCUUGAAGGGGGUCCGGCUGGCCGACUCUGCACUGGUCCGUUCGUGACCCACCGUGGUGGUCACCAAAUUAAGGGCUUCCUGGAAGGACCUCCUCACGGUGCCCAUCCACUGGGUCAUGUGGGUCUGAGCCACCGUGAGUUUAUCUCCCAGCUGUCUCUCUCUCCAUCUCUGGAAGGCAACACAGAUCCAGGAUCUCACUCUGUUGCCCAGGCUGGACUGCAGUGGCAUGAUCACAGCUCACUACAGCCUUGGCCUCCCAGGCUCAAGCGAUCCUCCCACCUCAGCCUCCCGAGUAGCUGGGACUACAGAUGCAGCAACACCGUCAGUCAGAAGGCAGCGGAUGGCACAGGGCUUCCGUGUAAGGCCUGCAUCGCCUGAGUCAUGGUUUUCUCAUCUUGUAUGAGGCCCACCCCCUUCAAAAGGUUGCGACAAAAAAACAACUGAGAUAAUUUGUGCCCCUGGCACAUAGUUAACAUCAAUAAGGCCAGGCAUGGUGGCUCACACCUGUAAUCCCAGCACUUUGGGAGGCUGAGGCAGGUGGAUCACUUGAGGCCAGGAGUUCAAUACCAGCCUGACCAACAUGGUGAAACCCCAUCUCUACUAAAAAUACAAAAAUUAGCCAGGCAUGGUGGUGUGCACCUGUAGUCCCAGCUACUCAGGAGCCUGAGGCAGGAGCAUCUCUUGAACCCAGGAGGUGGAGGUUGCAGUGAGCGGAGAGAUUGCACCACUGCACUCCAGCCUGGGUGACAGAACAAGACUGUCUCAAAACAACAACAAAAA